rnacentral:misc_RNA from 1 species
GAAUCGGCGGUGGCUUAGGAGGUUACUACCCAGGUGGAAUUUCCUCAAGUUAUUUCUAUUACCUGAUGAGUACUUUAGGCCCAUACUUUGGAGGAGGUUUUCCAAUGACUGGAGGUAUACCAUACGGAGGCGGAAUAGGCAGCGGUAUCGGCGGAAUAGGCAGCGGCAUCGGUGGUAUAGGCAGCGGCAUCGGUGGCAUCGGUGGAAUAGGCAGCGGCAUCGGUGGCAUUGGUGGAAUAGGCAGCGGUAUCGGCGGCAUCGGUGGAAUAGGCAGCGGUAUCGGCGGAAUAGGCAGCGGCAUCGGUGGCAUCGGUGGAAUAGGCAGUGGUAUUGGUGGCAUUGGAAGUGGAAUCGGGAGUGGAAUUAGCAAGAUUGGAAGUGGAAUUGCUGACGUUGGUUACGACUUCGGUGGAAUGGGUGGUAUUGGUAUUAUUGGUAGUGGAAUAGGUGGUAUCGGCAGUGGAGGUCUUGGUAGUGGCAUCAUCAGCACUGGUGGACUAGGGAGUGGACUAGGAACCGGAUUAGGAGGAAUCGGAGGUGGAUUAGGAGGAAUCGGCGGUGGAUUAGGAGGAAUCGGAGGUGGAUUAGGAGGUUUAGGAGGCGGAUUAGGAGGUGGAUUAGGAGGCGGACUAGGAGGUGGUUUUGGAAAAGGAAAAAAGUACUACUGAGCUCUGUUACUGAAUUCGACGCCCGCUAGUUAACGACGCCCAUCAUUAUUUCAUCUUAGUUUGGUUUGUGUAUAUGUAGUCAUAAAAUUCUGCAAGUUUC